rfam:Oryctolagus cuniculus chromosome X, whole genome shotgun sequence.
CCAAAGGCUCUUUUCAGAGCCACCCACUCAGCCGAAAAGGCCUGU